rnacentral:rRNA from 1 species
GAGUGUGAUCCUGGCUCAGAACGAACACUGGCGGCGUGGAUUAGGCAUGCAAGUCGAGCGGGAUUAACGUUCUUCAAUUCUUCGGAAAAGAAGUUCGUUAUGAGAGCGGCGAACGGGUGAGUAAUAUAUGGGUAAUUUGCCUUGAAGUUUGGGAUAGCCAUUGGAAACGAUGGGUAAUACCGAAUGUGCUCGGAGACCGCAUGGUCUCUUGUGUAAAGGUGGGGAUUCUUCGGAACCUGCCGCUUCUAGAUAAGCCCAUAUCCUAUCAGCUAGUUGGUAAGGUAACUGCUUACCAAGGCUUACGGGUAGCCGACCUGAGAGGUGACCGGCACACUGGGACUGAGACACUGCCCGACUCCUACGGGAGGCUGCAGUCGAGAAUCAUUGACAAUGCACGAAAGUGUGAUCAUGCGACGCCGCGUGGAGGACGAAGGCCUUCGGGUUGUAAACUCCUGUCCUGAGGGAGUAGUGUAGUUAGGGUANACCCUUUCUACUUGAUAGUACCUCAGA